rnacentral:rRNA from 1 species
UGGGGAAUAUUGCGCAAUGGGGGAAACCCUGACGCAGCAACGCCGCGUGAUUGAAGAAGGUCUUCGGAUUGUAAAAAUCUUUUAUCAAGGACGAAGAAGUGACGGUACUUGAUGAAUAAGCUCCGGCUAACUACGUGCCAGCAGCCGCGGUAAUACGUAUGGAGCAAGCGUUAUCCGGAUUUACUGGGUGUAAAGGGAGUGUAGGUGGCAUCACAAGUCAGAAGUGAAAGCCCGGGGCUCAACCCCGGGACUGCUUUUGAAACUGUGGAGCUAGAGUGCAGGAGGGGCAAGUGGAAUUCCUAGUGUAGCGGUGAAAUGCGUAGAUAUUAGGAGGAACACCAGUGGCGAAGGCGGCUUACUGGACGAUCACUGACGCUGAGGCUCGAAAGCGUGGGGAGCAAACAGGAUUAGAUACCCUGGUAGU